CUCUGUCCUGGUCGUUGUGUCCUUGGGCAAGAAACUUCACCUACCGCCUACUCGUGUUGGCCAGAGGGGCCGAUGGCGCGGAAAGGAGUUGUAUCUGGCUCUACUCGUCCAGGAAAAGUUUCAGAAGACACACAAUCAGAGGAAGCUCUACAAUAUAAAGGAGGAGGAGUGACUGAGAGCAGAGAGGAGGAGCAGAGAUUCAGGGAGGAGCUGAGCUGUUACUGAACUAUAGAAGAGAGAAAAACCUCCACAUUCAACAGAGUUCAACACAAAACAAACUUUAUGUUCCUCAACAUGCUGUCAUUACAUCACUGUGUGUUUCCUCUGAUUCUUCUCACUCUCACAGGUGUCACAUGUGAUCAGCUCACUCCAUCCAAAGAUGAAGAGUCCAGUUUAGAGGGCAGCACAGUUACUCUGACCUACACUUACAAAGUGUCAACUGGUGAUUAUUUCUUCUGGUAUCGACAACAUCCAGGAAGAGCACCAG